AGUCGAGGGGUAACAGAGGAGCUUGCUCUUGCUGACGACCGGCGCACGGGUGCGUAACGCGUAUACAAUCUGCCUUACACUAAGGGAUAGCCCAGAGAAAUUUGGAUUAACACCUUAUAGUUUAUUUUUAUGGCAUCAUUUAAAUAAUAAAGUUUACGGUGUAAGAUGAGUAUGCGUCCCAUUAGUUUGUUGGUAAGGUAACGGCUUACCAAGACUACGAUGGGUAGGGGCCCUGAGAGGGGGAUCCCCCACACUGGUACUGAGACACGGACCAGACUCCUACGGGAGGCAGCAGUGAGGAAUAUUGGACAAUGGAGGAGACUCUGAUCCAGCCAUGCCGCGUGCAGGAAGACGGUCCUAUGGAUUGUAAACUGCUUUUAUACAGGAAGAAUAAGGACUACGUGUAGUCUGGUGACGGUACUGUAAGAAUAAGGACCGGCUAACUCCGUGCCAGCAGCCGCGGUAAUACGGAGGGUCCGAGCGUUAUCCGGAAUUAUUGGGUUUAAAGGGUCCGUAGGCGGGCUGUUAAGUCAGGGGUGAAAGUUUGCAGCUCAACUGUAGAAUUGCCUUUGAUACUGAUGGUCUUGAAUUAUUGUGAAGUGGUUAGAAUAUGUAGUGUAGCGGUGAAAUGCAUAGAUAUUACAUAGAAUACCGAUUGCGAAGGCAGAUCACUAACAAUUGAUUGACGCUGAUGGACGAAAGCGUGGGUAGCGAACAGGAUUAGAUACCCUGGUAGUCCACGCCG
rnacentral:rRNA from 1 species